rnacentral:rRNA from 1 species
GCGCAGGAAAAGAAACCAACAGGGAUUGCCUUAGUAACUGCGAGUGAAGCGGCAAAAGCUCAAAUUUGAAAUCUGGCGUCUUCGGCGUCCGAGUUGUAAUUUGGAGAGAUUUCUUCGGGGUGAACACCGGUCCAAGUUCCUUGGAACAGGACGUCACAGAGGGUGAGAAUCCCGUGUCUGACCGGUUGCUUCAUUCCAUGUGAAGAGUCUUCGACGAGUCGAGUUGUUUGGGAAUGCAGCUCAAAAUGGGUGGUAAAUUUCAUCUAAAGCUAAAUAUUGGCGAGAGACCGAUAGCGCACAAGUAGAGUGAUCGAAAGAUGAAAAGCACUUUGAAAAGAGAGUUAAAAAGUACGUGAAAUUGUUGAAAGGGAAGCGCUUGAGACCAGACUCAAUUUGUGGUGAACAUCAGUCCUUCUGGGCUGUGCACUUGCCACUUUUUGGGCCAGCAUCGGUUCUGACCGUGUGAUAAAGGUCCUGGGAAUGUAGCUCCUCUCGGGGAGUGUUAUAGCCCAGGGCGUAAUGACAUGAGUUGGGACCGAGGACCGCGCUUCGGCUAGGAUGCUGGCAUAAUGGUCUUCAGCGACCCGUCUUGAAACACGGACCAAGGAGUCUAACAUCUAUGCGAGUGUUCGGGUGGAAAACCCUUGCGCGUAAUGAAAGUGAACGGAGGUGGGAACCCCUCGGGGUGCACCAUCGACCGAUCCUGAUGUUCUCGGAUGGAUUUGA